ensembl:lncRNA
UAGAGGUCCUGAGUUUGUGAGAUAGAGGUCAUGUGUUUGUGAGAUAGAGGUCAUGUGUUUGUGAGAUAGAGGUCAUGUGUUUGUGAGAUAGAGGUCAUGUGUUUGUGAGAUAGAGGUCAUGAGUUUGUGAGAUAGAGGUCAUGUGUUUGUGAGAUAGAGGUUCUGUGUUUGUGAGAUAGAGGUCAUGUGUUUGUGAGAUAGAGGUCAUGUGUUUGUGAGAUAGAGGUCAUGUGUUUGUGAGAUAGAGGUCAUGUGUUUGUGAGGUAGAGGUCAUGUGUUUGUGAGAUAGAGGUCCUGAGUUUGAGCCUCGGUAUGUUCCGAAUAAGGAGGAAGUGGUGAUCGCUAAGCAAGCAGCAUGACGUCCUUUACACUUGGUUCAAGUGAACAUUGACAGCACAAUUCAUACAAAUAUUCUGUUGCACAAAGUGAAUCUUAUCCCCCACACAGUGAGGAAGACGGUUGGGGAAACAAAGAAAUAUCCAAGGGCCGAAAGUUGGAGAAUAACAGAACUUGGUCGCAUCUUCGGGUCACCAAGUCUCCAAAUCUACAAUUAGACGCCACGUCCAUGCCAAUAGGCUCUUUGGAAGGGUUGCCAGGAAGAAUGAAAUGCUGUUUGGCCACGCCCACCAGUUGUGGGUUUGGUGUUGAAAGAAAGAUGCAUAUGCAGAUCAGAACCUCAUACCUACUGUUCAAUGUGGUAGUGGAUCUCUGUUAUGGGGUUGUUUGAUUCCACUGGUCCUGUGGCCUGUCACGCUGGCAUGAAGAGAUUCUGGAGACAGGCGCAGAAAUGUGUAAUAGGGUGUUUGAUUCCACUGGUCCUUUGGCCUGUCACGCUGGCAUGAAGAGAUUCUGGAGACAGGCGCAGAAAUGUGUAAUAGGGUGUUUGAUUCCACUGGUCCUUUGGCCUGUCACGCCGGCAUGAAGAGAUUCUGGAGACAGGCGCAGGACUGUGUAAUAGGGUGUUUGAUUCCACUGGUCCUGGUCUGUCACGCUGGCAUGAAGAGAUUCUGGAGACAGGCGUAGGACUGUGUAAUAGGGUGUUUGAUUCCACUGGUCCUGUGGCCUGUCACGCUGGCAUGAAGAGAUUCCGGAGACAGGCGCAGGAAUGUGUAAUAGGGUGUUUGAUUCCACUGGUCCUGGUCUGUCACGCUGGCAUGAAGAGAUUCUGGAGACAGGCGCAGGACUGUGUAAUAGUUUUUUCUACUAAGCCCCAAAUUAUGGCAUGCAAUGUAAAGGCACGGGGGACGAAGACCAAACAAACACGUAACAAAAACACAGGGUUGAAACCCAAACAAAAGAGCGAGGAGAACCUUGAAUAAAUAACACUAGCGCACAAUGAUUAACACACGGGACGAGACCCGUAAUCAUCUGCGCAAUCCACACUUUCACCACACACACGCAACACCGUCCGCACACUCAUACUUACAUGUUUAUGCACACACCUAGUGAGGUUACAGAACAAUCAGCCAAACCUAGGUCCCCUGGACAAUGUGAAUAUAAGGAAACAGUAGGGUUGUCUAAAAGGUUCCUUAACAAUUACAAUCAUUUUUAUCAAAUGUUCCCAUUAUUUUUAUCAUACAGUUCUGCUCAGUUUUUGAAUGAUUUAUUUUACCAUUUUUUAUAAAGGGUGCCAAUAAUGUUGAAGUUGAAUGAAUGUACAAAACAUUAAUGAGUGUACAAAACACCUUCUAAUAUUGAGUUGCCCCCCCCCCCCCUCCUUUUGGCCUCAGAACAGCUACAAUCCGUCAGGAAAUGGACUCUACAAGGUGUAGAAAGCGUUCCACAGGGAUGCUGGCCCAUGUUGACUCUACAAGGUGUAGAAAGCGUUCCACAGGGCUGCUGGCCCAUGUUGACUCUACAAGGUGUAGAAAGCGUUCCACAGGGAUGCUGGCCCAUGUUGACUCCAAUGGCCCAUUUUGACUCCAAUGCUUCCCACAGUUGUGUCAAGUUGGCUGGAUGUCCUUUGGGUGGUGGACUGUUCUUGAUA